AUGGUGUUGGCAUCAGCCUGGUACAGCCCUGACACACGCUGUCCCAUCCUCCUCCGACUGCACCAAGCACCCAAAAACCCGCAGCCAUCCCCUCCCUCCAGAGUAACGCCCGCAAGCUGGGGGUACACAUGCUCCUGCUGGCUCCCACCCGUGCAUGCUGAGCCCAUCUCCCUGUCAGGGGGCACCCACCGCCCGCUGAUGUCCAGCAUGGCUGGCGUGGCCGCCGGCGGGGGCCGGGACAGCCGCUCGUCCUGUGCAAACGCUGCCUGCACCAUGACGGAGCCGGGCAGCUUCCCAGCACCGGCUGCUGUGGCCAGAGUCCCGAGCAGAGCCUUGUCCUGGAGAAAGGAAGGAAGGAAGGAAGGAAGGAAAAAAGAGAAUCAGCCCCUCCAUCAGCCACAUCCCUCCCGUGCACCUGUGCCCCUCCAUCAACCACAGCCAUCCUGUGCACACUACACCCCUCCAUCAGCCGCAUGUCCCCUUGCACUCGUGCCCCUCCACCAGCUGCAUCCCACUGUGCACCCCUGCCCCUCCAUCAGCCACAUCCCCCCUGUGUACCCGUGCCCCUCCAUCAGCCAAAUCCCCCCUGUGUACCCAUGCCCCUCCAUCAGCCACAUCGCCCCUCCAUCAGCUGCAUCCCCUGUGUACCUGUGCCCCUCCACCAGCUGCAUCCCCUGUGUACCUGCACCACUCCAUCAGCCACAUCCCCUGUGUACCUGUGCCUCUCCAUCACUCACAUCCCCUGUGUACCUGCGCCCCUCCAUCAGCUGCAUCCCCUGUGUACCUGUGCCCCUCCACCAGCUGCAUCCCCUGUGUACCUGCACCACUCCAUCAGCCACAUCCCCUGUGUACCUGUGCCUCUCCAUCACUCACAUCCCCUGUGUACCUGCGCCCCUCCAUCAGCUGCAUCCCCUGUGUACCUGUGCCCCUCCACCAGCUGCAUCCCCUGUGUACCUGCACCACUCCAUCAGCCACAUCCCCUGUGUACCUGUGCCUCUCCAUCACUCACAUCCCCUGUGUACCUGCGCCCCUCCAUCAGCUGCAUCCCCUGUGUACCUGUGCCCCUCCACCAGCUGCAUCCCCUGUGUACCUGUGCCCCUCCACCAGCUGCAUCCCAUGUGUACCUGUGCCCCUCCACCAGCUGCAUCCCCUGUGUACCUGCACCACUCCAUCAGCCACAUCCCCUGUGUACCUGUGCCUCUCCAUCACUCACAUCCCCUGUGUACCUGCGCCCCUCCAUCAGCUGCAUCCCCUGUGUACCUGUGCCCCUCCACCAGCUGCAUCCCCUGUGUACCUGUGCCCCUCCAUCAGCCACACCCCCCGCUGUGCACCCGCGCCCCUCCAUCACUCACAUCCCCCCGUGCCCCAGCUCUCCCACCUGUGCUGGCUGGUAGGGGGCCAUGCCCCGGCUCAGCUCAAAGCUCUGCCCGCCGGCCUCAGGGGCCCAGGCAGCCGGCGAGGAGGAGGCGGCGGCAGAUGAGCAGCUCCCGCAGCCGCUGGCGCUGA
rnacentral:lncRNA from 1 species